CAACAGGAAGCCUUUCUGCAGGUGGUUGGAAUCCUUGCUACAGUCUUCUUUACCUUGUCUUGAGGAACUAAUUCUGGGUGGAGUUCUUGAGGAGACACUAUGGCGAAUAAUUUUGGUCUCUUCUUCAUUAAAGUUUCUGCUUCAUUGAAGUCUCUGCAUAUUUUACGCAUAAAUGAUCUGGUAUCUCUGCCAGAUAAUCGACUACAACACCUCACUUCUCUCAAGUUUUUGGAAAUUAGGUAUUGUGAUGGACUAAUGUCUCUGUUUCAAGGGAUUCAACAUCUCGGCGCCCUUGAGGUGUUACAAAUUUAUCACUGCAUCCAGCUCAACUUGUCAGAUGAAGAGGAUGAUGAUGGUGGCUUGCAAUUUCAAGGCCUUAGAAGCUUGCGUAAACUAUUUAUUGUAGGAAUUCCAAAACUGGUGUCUCUUCCAAAGGGGCUUCAACAUGUUACCACACUGGAAACUCUCUCAAUUGCUGAUUGUGAGGAUUUCACCACUUUACCAGACUGGAUAAGCAGCCUAACUUCCCUUUCAAAGCUGAAGAUUUUGUGGUGCCCUAGAUUCAAGCUUGAAGAUCGGUCCAAGAUUGCUCAUAUUCCAACAAUUGACAUCUUCUAAGAUAUAUGUCAGGGAUUCAUCCAUUCAGCCCCUCGUCAUUGUUGUAAUCUUCAAUUGUUCGCUCUUGUGAGGAAGAUGCCAUAAAGAAAUGCAUGCAGAUUGGCCUAAGAUUGCUCCUGUCCUAACAACUCUUAUUGACAUUCUAUCAUGCACUGCUGGAUGAAGGAAUUCUGCUCCGUUUGGUUCAAGCAUGCCAUCCAUGCAUAAUUUUCAGAUGUAAUUACUAUCAAGUCAAAGUAAAAGGUAUAAUGGUGGGGUUGAACAAUUCUCCCAAGUAUGUCUAAAGUUAAAGGUGAAGAUUGGGUCAAUAUCUCUCAUGUUCUUGAAAUUGAUAUUGAAUACCAAUAAAUGCAGUAUUCAUGAAGGACAACUCUUUUAUUCUAGCAUGCCACAUGAUAGGUCUCAGAGGAGGGGUUGAAACAAGGAGAAUUAUUAGAGAAUCAUUCGUCUUAUUCCUACCUUGAUGGAAAAUCUUAAAAGUUUGAAAAACUUGAACAAAUGGUGGAGGGGCUAGUGCACUGCCAGAACAACAACAAUGACCUUCAUUCCUGCCAUGAUUUCAUUUUCUUUCUAUACUGCCUGAGCUGACAUCCAUGUCAUUGCAUGAGUGUCUUGAGGAUCAACGGUAUCUUUACUCCCUUCUUGCAUGCUGUUAAAGUUUAUGCACAUUGAAGGUGUAAAAGGAUCUGACAUCUGUUUUAGAAAAAAGGCAGUAAUACCUCACUUCUCUCUUGAUUUUUGAUAGCAUCCAGUUCGUAGGACUUGAGAGAUUGUGCUAAAUAUGUAUUCACCUUAUGCAAGAAUACAUGAAAGGGUCUUCAUCAGCAAUGCGAUUCUUCUCUUCUUUUAAAGGACUCCAAAUCUUUUAGUUCCUGAAUUGGAAGGGUGGUGGAGGAGAGACAUAGCAAUAGAACAGGGUUUUACAUUUCCUUGUCUUUCAGAAUCAAAGAUCAAUGAUUGCCAUAAUUUGACAUCCUUCGCAAUGUCUUGAUCAUCUUAUUCUCUUUCUCAUUUAGAUUGGCAUCCUUGUGAUGUCAAUAAGGAGCUAUUGUGGUAGAUAAUGUUUGCCUCUUCUUCAUUAAAGAUGUUGGAUGUUUGUAGAAGAGGUGAUCAGAUAUCUCUGCUUGACGAGCGAAACCAUUUUUCAAUCAUGGAUUAUCAUGGUCUAACAUUUUUCUGUCAUGGGAUUCAAUAUCUCACUGCACUUGAUCUUGAAUACUCCAAACUUCAGGAAGCUUGGUUUUUUAGACAAGGAGGAUGAUGAUGACACUGUCCAUCAAUUUCAAGGUCUUAUAAGCUUACGCGCAAUUCCAAGAAGUUGUAUCAAUUCCAAAGUUCAUUUGUCUCCCAAGGGGGCCACAACAUGUUACCACUCUAGAAACUCUCACAAUUGGUAACUGUUCUGGUCUAGUUGCCAAAGUAAAUAGGUAAAGACUGGCUUAAGAUUUCUCAUAUUCUUAAAUGUGAUGUUAAGGAGCCAUCACAAGAUGAUAGUGAGGAGCCAUUAGAAGGUAUGCCUGCUCUUCAAUGGUGUCAUCCACAAUAUAUUUCAGUAAAACGACAGCAUACCACUUGAGCAAGGAGCAAAUUUUACUGAAUCGAUUUAAUAGCCAGUCAAUUCUCCUCUCUCAAGUCUUUGGAUCUUGGGAAUCUAUAUGUUUUGGAGCACAUGGAUAACAGGAUCGUAUUUUCUUCAUUUUCAUUAAGAGGCAAUAUGGUUUAGGAAGAACAGCAAACAAGAAGAAUUUGUAGGACCAUUCCUGUCAUGAUGGAGAAACUUCAAGACAUGGCUGAAGGGUAGUAUCACUGGUAGAGCAUGUAACAACACCAAGAUUCGGAUUUUCAAAAUGGUAGAGAAUAUGCUUCAUCCGAGAGGUUGUUGUAUGUCUAAUAUGAUUGAAGAUGCUUGAAAAGGUGAAUUAUAGGUGUCCACAAGUUUGAUCAAUGCCUCUGGAAGAGUUUGUUCCACUUGAAUAUCGCCUCAUGUUGGAUGUGACUGAGUCAAGCUCACUCAUUUUACCAAGUUGACUCGUUCACCACCCUCCUCCUCCUAUCCUUGACACCAGAAGCACUGCCCACACCUCCAUGGUUUGAUUGUGAAUGAUGAAGAUUUGAAAUAGUAGGUGAAGUAUCAACGUAAAUGUUUCAUGGAUUUUAUUUUCUCAAAAUACAAUAUUCUGAUUAUCUGAUGAUGUAUAUAUAUGAUGAUAGAAAGGAAUUCUGAAAUCCCUAGAUUAUCUGAAGAAAAUCAUAUGCAAAACUCACACGCUUCAUGGUGUUGAGAUUCCCUUUUGAAAUAUUGAAGGAAAAUUUCAUCAUCAUCAUUCAUUUGCGUUGGUGUUGGUGUGAGGACUCUUCUUUAUUUCUUGUAUAGUAUUAAUGCUGAGUAGAAAAUUGUUGUACUUUAAUUUGAGCUCUCAUGUUUUAUUCUCAUGUAGAGUAGAACCUGAACGACAAUGUACCACUUGAGCAAGGAACAUAUAUUAUGAGGCAAUUUGGUUUUGGAUAGAAGUCAAGACCAUGAGAACUAGAAAGACAGUCCUUCCCAUUCUUAAAAGUACACAAAAUAAAAAAGGAUGGAUAGAAGGGGGUAGUGGGUGUAGUAGAGCAGAGCAACAACAACAACAUUCAUUCUCCCUAAGUUGACAUCCAUGCCAUUGCAUCUGUAUAUGGAGGAUCUAGAUCUGUAUGAUACAACAAUAUUUUCUUCAUUUGCAUUCUUUUGUUAGAUUAUGAGGAUGCAGUUCACAUGCAAUUCCAAGGACUUGAGAGGUUGUUCCAAAUAUGGAUUCUUCUUAUGCAAGGUUGAUUUCUCCCCCUAAGACUUAUAGUCUGGUGUUACACUAGAAAAUCUAACACUUUGGGAUUGUGUUUCAGUAUAUACAGGGUAGAUAAUUCACAUCACAGGGCUUCUUGUUGUUCGUUUCCAAGUUUGAAAUCUCUGCCUGAAGGGAUACCAAAAGGACGCAACCUUAGACUGGCCUAAUAACUUCUAAUGUCCCAAUGACUCAUAUCUACUAGUCACAGAUGGCUAAUUUGUGAAAGACCUCUCUUUUAAUUCAAGUGCACUAUCCACGGCAUAUUUCAAGUUUGCAAUGCCAAUUUCUUUUCCUGAUUUUGAUGUUUGCUUAAUUUCUUUUUUUAUAAUUAAUCUGCUCUAUUUCUUAAUUUAAUAUUCAGGUUUGUUGUUCUAACCUUUUGCCACUUUCCAAAAUGUCUUUAUAGCUUAUUACUUGGCAACCAAAUUGGUAAAAACUAUUAGGCCCAGAUUUUAAUUCUUGUACUUUGGUUCUUCUAGGUAAUAGAACAACAACAUAUUGAAGUGAAUAAGCCAGCAGAUCUUCAGCUUACUUGAUAAUGUUCCUAUACGUAUGCUGGUGAAUCCAAUCUUUGUAGAGUGUUUUCUUUGGAGUUCUCUUUGUCAAGGAGAGAGUAGCAACAACUUGAACAAAGGUACAUAUUAUUGAAUCGCUUUAAUAUUGUGGUUAGCUCUCUACUCCAUCUUGGGCAUCUAAAUGCCUUAGAGUGAAUGGCCAAUAGUGAUGGUGCUUCUUCUUCAUUUUCAUUGAAAGGCAAUUUAGUUUGGGAGUGGGAGAAAAUAAGGAGAAUUUUUCAGAUGAGUUCUUCCUAUUCUGGAAAGUGCACUAACUCAAAAGUUGAAGAAACUCAGAGGGCCACAGUAGAGCUAUAGCAACAAGACUCAUUCCUGCCACAAUCUCUCUCUCUCUCUUUUUGCUCCUGCCAUAAACUCAUAGAUUUGUAUAAUUGAAGAGUGACUUAUUUGUUUUCAUUCUCCUUCCCACUUUCCCCAUUGAAGUUUUAUGUUGUUUCUUUUUUCAAGUAAUUAUUUAUUUAUUUUUUUUCGUGGAGAGCUGUUGGAUCUUCUCACAUGCCAUAGAAGUAGGUUUGGCUUUGAAACAGAAGCAACUGAUAUCCUAUUUAGGCAUCUCAUCUACUACAAAAUGUUAUUCAGAUGUUUGUUUCUCA